CAAGGUUUUAAGUGUAAAAUUAUUCUAAGAAACUAUUUUCUAUCAAUACCUACGAAGUUAUCAGAAAUUAUGAUUGCUAUUAGAACAAUGUGGUGCCUGCUGUUAGUUUUCUGUUUAUUCGCCUUAGUGAACGGCAGGCCACAGGGCUACCAAGAUGUCAACCACGCUUCGGAACGAAAAGGUAAGUUUUUUUUAUAGAAUGUUGUCAAUUUACUAUGUUACCAAUCUCUUAGUCAUGAAGAUUAGCAGGAGUAAGUACAAGAAUUGUCUAAGUAAGUACAAGCCGGGAUUGAACCCAUGACCUCUUAAUGUUGAGUCCGACCAUUUAACCGUGCAGCUAUUGCGGCUUUGUUGUUGCCUGAAAGCCUGAAAUUUAUACAUAACAAUUUGCGUUUAAAAACGAUGCUAUUUGUUUUUGCAAGGCGUUUGUGAUAAGUGGGAAGGUAUAACAAUUUUUUGUAACAGCCACAUUCGAUUUCUUAACCGACUUAGUAGGCUAGCAAUUCGACCCGUGUGUAUGUAUGUAACAUUGUCAGAAUUGCACAGGUUUGUAUAUGUUAGUAUAGACUAGUUUCUAAUCACAAGGUUAAAUACUAUCAUUCAGAUUUAAUUUUUUAGUACUUAUGGAACAGUGCAAUUUUCUUAAUCGGUUAUGUGUUAUGUUAUAAAUGAAAAUGUGUUAUAAAAAAGUGUACAAAACAAAGCCGUACAAAUACGCUGACUAUACGCUAUUUUUCUUGAAUAGUAUUGAAAAUUACUGAUGCGACGCUUCGUGUCGUGCGUACUGACUCGUAUUCGUUUUUCGAAUGGCUGCGUCCCUGCCGUGUUUCGUACGCUCUAUUUGCCUAUUAUUCUUUAAUCUGUGGUUUAAGUAUUAAAUAUUCUGUCUUCCAGACGAGGCGGGUCGGGUGCAGAUCAAGGUGUACCGCGGCCCCACGCAGCACGACGGCACGGCGCCCUGGGGCUUCUUUGUCAAGCAGCCCGCCGACGAAAAGUGAACCAAAUAUGAAUGUGAAACACUUUCAAAUUAAAAUUACCUUCUAGUUAUACAAUGCGUACAAUAUACAUUUAUCUUUGGUGUGGUCGAUCAGCUGACAGUGACGGACGUACGUUUACUAACUAUAGACUACCUGGCAAAUGUCAUCUUUGUACAUCAAGAGCUUUCGAUAUUUUGUAAUGAGUGAUCUUUCGCUUUUAUAUAUUUAGAAAAAUAUUAGGAGGCUGGUGCUUUAGCCAAAGAUUGAUUAUUUUAUUACCUUUAUUUAAUACUUUUAGUAAUAAAACGUCAGAAUUA
rnacentral:lncRNA from 1 species